rnacentral:rRNA from 1 species
CUGCGAAUGGCUCAUUAUAUAAGUUAUCGUUUAUUUGAUAGUACCUUACUACUUGGAUAACCGUGGUAAUUCUAGAGCUAAUACAUGCUAAAAAUCCCGACUUCGGAAGGGAUGUAUUUAUUAGAUACAAAACCAAUGCCCCUCGGGGCUCUCUGGUGAUUCAUGAUAACUCGUCGAAUCGCACGGCCUUGCGCCGGCGAUGGUUCAUUCAAAUUUCUUCCCUAUCAACUUUCGAUGUUUGGGUAGUGGCCAAACAUGGUGGCAACGGGUAACGGAGGGUUAGGGCUCGACCCCGGAGAAGGAGCCUGAGAAACGGCUACUACAUCCAAGGAAGGCAGCAGGCGCGCAAAUUACCCAAUCCCGAUACGGGGAGGUAGUGACAAUAAAUACUGAUACAGGGCUCUUUUGGGUCUUGUAAUUGGAAUGAGUACAAUUUAAAUCCCUUAACGAGGAACAAUUGGAGGGCAAGUCUGGUGCCAGCAGCCGCGGUAAUUCCAGCUCCAAUAGCGUAUAUUAAAGUUGUUGUGGUUAAAAAGCUCGUAGUUGAAUCUUGGGCCUGGCUGGCCGGUCCGCCUCACCGCGUGUACUGGUCCGGCCGGGUCUUUCACUCUGCGGAACCACAUGCCCUUCAGUGGGUGUGGCGGGGAAGCAGGACGUUUACUUUGAAAAAAUUAGAGUGCUCUAAGCAGGCCAAUGCUCGGAUACAUUAGCAUGGAAUAAUAAAAUAGGACGCGCGGUUCUAUUUUGUUGGUUUCUAGGACCGCCGUAAUGAUGAAUAGGGACAGUCGGGGGCAUCAGUAUUCAGUUGUCAGAGGUGAAAUUCUUGGAUCUACUGAAGACUAACUACUGCGAAAGCAUUUGCCAAGGAUGUUUUCAUUAAUCAGGAACGAAAGUUAGGGGAUCGAAGACGAUCAGAUACCGUCGUAGUCUUAACCAUAAACUAUGCCGACUAGGGAUCGGACGAUGUUAUUUAGUUGACUCGUUCGGCACCUUACGAGAAAUCAAAGUGGCUUGGGGC